CAUCUUGUAACUGAUACAGAGCCAAGUUGCCCAUUUAAUGAUGCAGAAACAGAAGUUGAGACUGAUUCCACAGCCAUUGAAUCUAGAGAAAAAGUAUCUACUUUCUCAAGUGAUGAGGUGGACAAAGAAAUUGAGGUUUCACUGGGGGCUGCUAAAUGUGUUGGCAGCAACUCUGUUUCAGUUGAAAAUAGAGAGGACUGUAUACAUGAAUCGGUUGAGAAUCCAUUUGGUGCAGAAGCAGAGCCAAAUCUUGAAAAUACACUGAUGGAUUCAAGUGAAGUUGUGGCCAAUGUUGAUAGAUGUGCAUCUGAAUGUGAG
rnacentral:misc_RNA from 1 species